CAAUAGUGUAUAUUUAAGUUGCUGCAGUUAAAAAGCUCGUAGUUGGAUUUCGGGUGGGAAUGGCCGGUCCGCCGUUUCGGUGUGCACUUGCUACGCCCACCUUGCUGCCGGGGACGUGCUCUUGAGUUCACGCUCGGGACACGGAGUCGGCGAGGUUACUUUGAGUAAAUUAGAGUGUUCAAAGCAGGCCUACGCUCUGAAUACAUUAGCAUGGAAUAACACGAUAGGACUCUGGCCUAUCUUGUUGGUCUGUAGGACCGGAGUAAUGAUUAAGAGGGACAGUCGGGGGCAUUCGUAUUUCAUUGUCAGAGGUGAAAUUCUUGGAUUUAUGAAAGACGAACUACUGCGAAAGCAUUUGCCAAGGAUGUUUUCAUUAA
rnacentral:rRNA from 1 species